ACGUAGGGGGCAAGCGUUGUCCGGAUUUACUGGGCGUAAAGGGCGCGUAGGCGGCCUUCUAAGUCGAACGUGAAAUCCCCGGGCUCAACCCGGGAACUGCGUCCGAUACUGGAAGGCUUGAAUCCGGGAGAGGGAUGUGGAAUUCCAGGUGUAGCGGUGAAAUGCGUAGAUAUCUGGAGGAACAUCGGUGGCGAAGGCGACAUCCUGGACCGGUAUUGACGCUGAGGCGCGAAAGCCUGGGGAGCAAACGGGA
rnacentral:rRNA from 1 species